CUCAUAACUAGAUUAGAAGUUUAUUUAUUUAAAUACGAGAAUCGAGAUUUCAAAGCUCCAAAUGGCUUUAAGUGGUCAAGUGGACUUUAAAAAAAGUUGUACCCAUAGCCAACGGCAUUCUACUUAUCCUGUGUUUUAGUUUGGUUCCAAAACUGUCGAAAUAUCUCGCAACGCACUGCCUUCGUUGAGUCAGCUGGAAGAGCUAGUAAGCUUUUUGGAAAGCAAACCAUGUUUGAUUAUGAUGGGCCAUGCUCGUACUGCGAAUGCGAGCAUGCAUGCAUGAUCCGAAAACAACAGCCCUAAACAGUGAAGUAGUGGGUGUAUGAAAAUAUUGGAGCAGUGGUGUAAGUACUGGAAGGACAAAAAGGAGCAGUUCAGAGGAAGUCCAGUUCUAUUGCAGCUGCGAGCCAACAUGAAGAAUUUGCCAGAACUCGGUGUAAUCAAGUUAAAAAUACAUUCUAUUAUGCAAGGAGAAUGUUUUGGAAUCUGAAUUUAAAAAUAAAUGCAUAUUCAUUAUAAAAUACAAAAUAAUAAAAAGACAUGAUGAAUUAAAA
rnacentral:lncRNA from 1 species